rnacentral:rRNA from 1 species
AGAACGAACGCUGGCGGCAUGCCUAACACAUGCAAGUCGAACGAGGUCCUUCGGGGCCUAGUGGCGCACGGGUGCGUAACGCGUGGGAAUCUGCCCUGGGGUACGGAAUAACAGUGAGAAAUUACUGCUAAUACCGUAUGAUGACGUAAGUCCAAAGAUUUAUCGCCCUGGGAUGAGCCCGCGUAGGAUUAGCUAGUUGGUGGGGUAAAGGCCUACCAAGGCGACGAUCCUUAGCUGGUCUGAGAGGAUGAUCAGCCACACUGGGACUGAGACACGGCCCAGACUCCUACGGGAGGCAGCAGUGGGGAAUAUUGGACAAUGGGCGAAAGCCUGAUCCAGCAAUGCCGCGUGAGUGAUGAAGGCCUUAGGGUGUAAGCUCUUUACCCGGGAAGAUAAUGACGUGUACCGGGAGAAGUAAGCCCCGGCUAACGUCCGCGCCAGCAGCCGC